GGCUCUCAUUAACAGCCAGCGUCAUCCAGGGUUUGGAAAAGUUACUUUUUGGGACAACUGCUAUCUCUGGCCAUGUUGGUCGAAGAGUUCGGAUGGCUGCGAUUUAAGAAAAAGCCACUUCUCGAAGCUGCGGUCUCACCUAGUGCUUUCAGUGUAGUUGAGCUUUAUACGGCGUUUCUGCCAAAUCCAGUGUGACGAUGUUGCUAGCAGGGCCAGCUCUUUUUGGCACGACUUGCUGAGUUUCCCAGGAGAAACGACAAGAACAAGAACAAAAAGAGAAUCUUGCUGCUGCUUCUUUGCCUUCUUUUACAUCUUGACCAUCUCAGCCAAAGCAUGGCCUCUUUCUCCCCACUCCCCCUUCCUGUGGGUUCCCUGGGUCACGUGUAGCUUGGAAAGGACAAACCCCAUAGUCUCUUCUGCCCGGUUAACAGUGUUCUGAAGGCUGGGAGAGAAGAGGGAAGAAUGGCCGUUCCUACACAGGCUUUCAUGUUCAAAAGCGAGUCACCAGUUGCUUCUGUUCUGCCAGCCGCACAGUGCUACUGCGUGGCAGAGAGACUGCGUAGCUGCCUGAUCAAGCUUUGAAUUACCAGGAGGAGGAGGCAGCAAAGGAGGUAAGCAGUGGUGAGAAAGAGGAGGUGGCCUGCGUCACUCAAAGGCCCAUGUUCUCCCUGCUGCUGGCCAACCGGACUGCGUGGUAUCGCUAAAGCUCCAAGUUUGCAGCAUGCAACUGGAAGGAGAGCAAAGUGUUCAUAUCGAACAAGCUCUGGAAUGGCUAAGGAAAGAGCUGCUGGAAAUGCAACUCCAGGACCAGCAGCUACUGGAGAAGCUGUUGCAGCUACACACGGCCCUGCGGGAGCUGAAAGUGGAGAGUGCUGACUGGGAGAGCUCUGAUCCCAGCAGAAACGGGUUUGGAUCCAGAGCCCGCUCCAGAUCAGAAGACAUGGGCACCCUCCUUCCUCCAAGGAGAUCCCUCAGACUUGAGCCACGCCGGAGAAAUUCUCUCCCUUGAACAGACCCAUGGAAUCCCUGGGAGAAUCAUCUACUAUUUUAAACACCAUGAUCCGUUUGCCAGCAAAAUCCAAGAGGACUCUGUAUUGUUGUGGCCAGCUUUAAAAAAGAAUGAAAUUCUGUGACUGGGAAGCAGAUCACAUUGUGCAAAUGCAUCAUUAGCAGAAUAGAUGCACACAUGCACAGUUUAUUGUGCACACGCGAUUCAAGUUUCCAACUGUUUGGGACCUCACCUUUUCGCACAAGGGAAGAUGGUAGAAUUUGGAAGCAGUGGCCAUGCAGAGGUAUAGUAGUAUCAUCACAACAGCAAAAUCACUAGCCACGAGCUACAGCUUACAACAGUGUUGUCUGAGCCUGAAGAGAUGAGAGUGAACAUUCAGUUACAGACGGUCAUCAUUAUCUUCUCGUUUAGUUUAGCUAAAAGAGAAUUCCAGUGACGCGGGAAUCUCACCUUGAACUGAUUCAUGCAAGCCAUUUCUAAGGACUCUAGUGGGCAAAGACUACCAUACAAUUAGCUCUGCAUCUGUUAAAAGGCUCCAAAUCACAACUGAUCACAUCACACAUGUCAGGCUUCUCCAAGUCACUGUCCUCCAUGUAUGCUGGACGGCAAGUCCCAAUUUUCCCAGAGAUUUUCCUUGGGGGGAGUUUUUACUGGAAAAAAAGUCUAAGUCUGUUUAGACGUGAAUGAUGCUUUUGGUAUGUCAAUCGCUUUAUUGUAGACUGUGAACUGGAAAGCAGUCCAUUUUUUCUCAGAGAUGUGUUUUCCAGACAUUUAUUUUUCAAGCAGCAUGUUCAACAGUGAAUUCUUAAAUGUGUGGCAAAACUGCAAAUCUGUAGAUGAAGCCCAGUGACCUGGGCUUCUUUAAAUGGAUAACAUCUACAGUACCAGUGUGCGCCCCCCCCCCGCCGCCCUUUACAUCUCUCUCUGAAGUAAAAUAUUAAGUGACAUAUUCUUACUGUCACUAUGUACCCCAAAGUGCCAAAAAUGCACAAGUGCCGUG
ensembl:lncRNA